rnacentral:rRNA from 1 species
CGGACGGGUGAGUAAUGUCUGGGAAACUGCCUGAUGGAGGGGGAUAACUGCUGGAAACGGUAGCUAAUACCGCAUAACGUCGCAAGACCAAAGGGGGGGACCUUCGGGCCUCUUGCCAUCGGAUGUGCCCAGAUGGGAUUAGCUAGUAGGUGGGGUAACGGCUCACCUAGGCGACGAUCCCUAGCUGGUCUGAGAGGAUGACCAGCCACACUGGAACUGAGACACGGUCCAG